rnacentral:rRNA from 1 species
GGGGGGGGGGGGGGGGGGGGGGGGGGGGUGGGGGGGGGGCGGGAGGGGGGGGCUGGCCGGGGACUGGAGUGGCGAACGGGUGAGUACCAGGUGGGUGAUCUGGCCGGCAAGUCGGGCUAGGGCUGGGAAACUGGGGCCAACACGGGGUAGGAGGCAUUGUUGUAGUGAUGGUGGUCAAGGUUUUUCGGUGUAGGAUUAGGUCGCGGCCUAUCAGCUUUGUGGUGGGGUAUUGGCCUACCAAGGCGGCGACGGGUAGCCGGCCUGAGAGGGUGGACGGCCACAUUGGGACUGAGAUACGGCCCAGACUCCUACGGGAGGCAGCAGUGGGGAAUAUUGCACAAUGGGCGCAAGCCUGAUGCAGCGACGCCGCGUGGGGGAUGACGGCCUUCGGGUUGUAAACUCCUUUCGCUAGGGACGAAGCUUUUUGUGACGGUACCUAGAUAAGAAGCACCGGCUAACUACGUG